rnacentral:lncRNA from 1 species
CAGGCCCUCCUCCCCACAGAGAGGUCAUCGUAUGCUAAUGAAGUCCGAGGAGGCAGCGGCGCAGCGCGGGAGAGCGCGCCCACGGGUUCACAGCGCUCCCGGGCCCCACUGCGGCGCAGCCACAAAUCGCUUCGCGCUGCAGCAGACCCUCCCGCCGCGGGGGGCGACUGGGGGAGGGGUCUCGACCGCCACCCUGAGUUCCGCAGCUGGAUCCCUCCCAUCUGGGAGGUGGUUCUAGCUCUAGUCCCAAGCUUUCCACUGCAGUGAUGGCGGGGAUGGGGGCAGCACGUCAAAUCACCUGUAGGGCUUUUUAGAACUCCACAGCCCCCUCCCCUAAUUCUAUUCCACUAGUUCAAACGAAGAAAAUCUCAGACUAGGCAAGGGGAGGUGGACCGGUGGAGUCUGCGAAAGCACCACAGGUGACUCCGGGUACGCACUCCUCAGGACACAAACACACACACGGACACAUCUUGUGACUCUGAGACUACACAGAUCAACCUUAGAUUCGACCCUUCCCUCCUUUAUUCUCUGGGGUGUCCGUGUUCUCUUCAGCUUCCCUUUAAGUCGCCCUGCGCAGGGGCUUUGUGGAGUGCCCCCAAAGUCCUAGAACCCCGCGGGACGGUCGGAGGCUUUGGCGGCCAGACAUUAGGAAAAGCAUCUCCUGCUUCUCGGACUGCCCGGAGCGCGAACUGGAUAUCAAGGAGCCAAGGUUCCCAUGGCAACCCCAUUAAAUUGCCCAAACGCAGUGGUGAGCAGGAAGCAAGGAAAACCAAGAUGGAACAAGGUUCUUGAGACACACCUCACAUUGCAUCCAGGUACCAACAUAUAUACCUUCUCUGCCGGUGUGGAUAAUUUCUCCUUAAGACUGACUUUAAUCUCCAGGUGAGCUUGUAAUUAAACUGGAGCUCAUUUUCCUAUAGAAACACAUGAACACGUGGUAAUUACAUUCCAGACCAGUACAUACACUGGAUACCAUAUCACUCAUAAAGUCGUUGCCGAGAAUCCGAAUGGUUGUCUAAAG